AUCCAGCUGAUGAGUCUUAAAUGAGCCGAAACGCGUGUCCUGGAU
rnacentral:hammerhead_ribozyme from 1 species